rnacentral:rRNA from 1 species
GACGAACGCUGGCGGCGCGCUUAGCACAUGCAAGUCGAGCGAGAACCAGGGCUUCGGCCCUGGGGACAGCGGCGAACGGGUGAGUAACACGUGGGUAAUCUGCCCUCGGCACCGGAAUAGCCCGGGGAAACCCGGAUUAAUGCCGGAUGGCCCCUUCACCUCGCGAGGUGUCGGGAAAAGGUAGCUUCGGCCUCUGGCCGAGGGUGAGCCCCCGGCGGAUUAGCUUGUUGGCGGGGUAACGGCCCACCAAGGCGACGAUCCGUAGCUGGUCUGAGAGGACGAUCAGCCACACUGGGACUGAGACACGGCCCAGACUCCUACGGGAGGCAGCAGUGGGGAAUCUUGCGCAAUGGGCGAAAGCCUGACGCAGCGACGCCGCGUGAGGGAAGAAGGCCUUCGGGUUGUAAGCCUCUUUCAGGAGGGACGAAGCUACUCGGGUGAAUAGCCCAGAGGGUGACGGUACCUCCAGAAGAAGCCCCGGCUAACUACGUGCCAGCCGCCGCAGUAA